rnacentral:rRNA from 1 species
AUUGAACGCUGGCGGCAUGCCUUACACAAGCAAGUCGAACGGUAACAGGUUAAGCUGACGAGUGGCGAACGGGUGAGUAAUGUAUCGGAACGUGCCCAGUCGUGGGGGAUAACUGCUCGAAAGAGCAGCUAAUACCGCAUACGACCUGAGGGAGAAAGCGGGGGAUCGCAAGACCUCGCGCGAUUGGAGCGGCCGAUAUCAGAUUAGGUAGUUGGUGAGGCAAAGGCUCACCAAGCCGACGAUCUGUAGCUGGUCUGAGAGGACGACCAGCCACACUGGGACUGAGACACGGCCCAAAUUCCUACGUGAGGCAGCAGUGGGUGAUUUUGGACAAUGGGCGCAAGCCUGAUCCAGCCAUGCCGCGUGCGUGAAGCAGUCCUUCGGGUUGUAAACCGCUUUUGUCAGGAAAGAAAAGGUUCUGGCUAAUACCUGGGACUCAUGACGGUACCUGAAGAAUAAGCACCGGCUAACUACGUGCCAGCAGCCGCCGUAA